rnacentral:rRNA from 1 species
GUAGGUGGCAAGCGUUGUCCGGAAUUAUUGGGCGUAAAGCGCGCGCAGGCGGUUCUUUAAGUCUGAUGUGAAAGCCCACGGCUCAACCGUGGAGGGUCAUUGGAAACUGGAGAACUUGAGUACAGAAGAGGAAAGCGGAAUUCCACGUGUAGCGGUGAAAUGCGUAGAGAUGUGGAGGAACACCAGUGGCGAAGGCGGCUUCCUGGUCUGUAACUGACGCUGAGGCGCGAAAGCGUGGGGAGCAAACAGGGAUUAGAUACCCUGGUAGUCCACGCCGUAAACGAUGAGUGCUAAGUGUUAGGGGGUUUCCGCCCCCUUAGUGCUGCAGCUAACGCAUUAAGCACUCCGCCUGGGGAGUACGGCCGCAAGGCUG